GCGGAAGUGCUGGAAUUGGUAGACAGGCAUGGUUGAGGGCCAUGUGUCCGUUAGGAUGUGAGGGUUCAAGUCCCUCCUUCCGCACCA
rnacentral:tRNA from 1 species